ACUUUCUUAGCCGACGGAAAGGCAUGUAUUCAAUCAUCAUCAUUAAAGCUCUCCUUAAAGAUAUCACUUUCAAUACAUCAGGCGAGAUGAUGAACUGAUGUCCAUCGAUAUGCUCCUGCUUGAUACGAAUACAACUCUUAUGCCAGCCACCGUUGCUGCUAGCCGUGCCCGUGUUCCGACUUUUGGUCCCCAUCUCACGGCAGGCUCGAUGUAUUCCGUAACCCGCUUCGAUGUGACUCGGUGUAAUCCAAAAUUCAGACUGUCGGACUCCCCUUUGUUGAUUCGUUUCAGUGAUGUUACCUCCUGGAAUGUGUUGACUGAGCCCACUUCUCCGCUACCUGAAGAGUGUUUCCGGUUUCGUAGUUAAAGCAAGAUGCUUGCUCUAGCAAACACAAGCUCUCAACUUCCGGGUACCCCUCUUUCAUUUGUCAUCAUACUAACCAGAAAUUAAAUUUACGUUUUCGUUAUUGCAUAGACAUCAUUGGGGAGAUCACGGCGGUUAAGAGCUCUGUCAGUGACCCUCCGGAAGACAAAAAUCACUUGAUGGUGACCGUCAAAAUGGAUAACAAUGUGAAUGUGACUUCGACUCUCACGCUGUUUCUCACAACAAGCUGGAAGCCAUGCAUGGUGAACCAAGGGUUGUCAUUGCGACAAGGUUAAAUCCUAAAAUAGUUGGAGGCCGUUUGUUCCUUAAUGCAACUUUCAGGGACACACAUAUAUUUCGAUAAGGAGACUAAUGUUGCAGCUUAUGUGACCAAGAUAUUACUAAAAUACACAUGGUGGUCUCCGGGCAUCAAUCAGCAGCUCCGUUUCUGAAGGGAUAUGCCAAGGUUGGGAGCCUGACUAUAUCCGAGCUUAAUGAGUUUGUCAUGACUGCUCCAUCCCAGGACAUUAACUUCAUGUGUUCUGGGAAAGUUACUGGCAUCAAGAUGGAUAAAGGGUGGUGUUAUGUUGGUUGCUCUAAGUGCACCAAAAAAACUGGAACGCACGGACUCGGCGUUCACAUGUGGGCACUGCGACAAUACACAUAUGCUGUUGGUCCUCUCCCAUACCAAGUGGAGAUGGGCAUAGCUGAUGAUACUGCUGAGGGAGUAUUCGCUGGUUUUGAUGGGGUGAUGACGAAGCUCCGUAACCUCAAAGCAAGUAAGGCUGGUCAUAUGUUGGUAAGUUACACUCUUAACUCUCAGAGAUGGUGUUAGCACUGAGGAUACUCAGAUCCCCCCCCCCCCUUUAUUUUGGAUAUGGAAGGAAAGACAUUCACCUGAGUUAGUGCAGACAACUUCACUGCAAAUCAUCAGAUUUCACAAUCACACGGAUUCUUAGCGGAAGUGCUGCUCCCUGGUUUCGUUGAUACUGGAGACAACGUGAACAAGAGGGAGGACACAUCAGUUGACGGAACGGUUCUUGCUAAGGCUGAGACUGGGGGUGGCAGUCAGCAGGCAGUACCAGAUGCGGUAUCAGACCCAGAUGGUGGAGAGCCACAGAAGCCUUUAGCCAGAGCAGCUUCGAAGAUGGUGAAGAAGGCCCGUCUUGCUUAGUGCUUUGUCAUCAGUUUGCUUUACUAAAUUUGUGAUAUAUUUUAGUAAAAUUAACUUAAUUAUA